rnacentral:tRNA from 1 species
UCUCUUGUAGUAUAGUGGUCAGUAUACGGGCUUGUCACGCCCGGGACCCGGGGUUCAAUUCCCGGCGAGAGAG